GCCAGACUCCUACGGGAGGCAGCAGUGAGGAAUAUUGGUCAAUGGCCGAGAGGCUGAACCAGCCAAGUCGCGUGAGGGAAGACGGCCCUACGGGUUGUAAACCUCUUUUGUCGGGGAGCAAGGCCCGCCACGUGUGGCGGGAAGGAGAGUACCCGAAGAAAAAGCAUCGGCUAACUCCGUGCCAGCAGCCGCGGUAAUACGGAGGAUGCGAGCGUUAUCCGGAUUUAUUGGGUUUAAAGGGUGCGUAGGCGGCGCUUCAGGUCAGCGGUGAAAUACCGGGGCUCAACCCCGGGGCUGCCGUUGAAACUGCAUCCCUUGAGUGCGCGAGAAGUAUGCGGAAUGCGUGGUGUAGCGGUGAAAUGCAUAGAUAUCACGCAGAACUCCGAUUGCGAAGGCAGCAUACCGGCGCGCAACUGACGCUCAUGCACGAAAGCGUGGGUAUCGAACAGGAUUAGAUACCCGUGUAU
rnacentral:rRNA from 1 species